UACGGAGGAUCCAAGCGUUAUCCGGAUUUAUUGGGUUUAAAGGGUGCGUAGGCGGAUUAUUAAGUCAGUGGUGAAAUCCUGCAGCUUAACUGCAGAACUGCCAUUGAUACUGAUGAUCUUGAGUACAGUUGAGGUGGGCGGAAUGUGUCAUGUAGCGGUGAAAUGCUUAGAUAUGACACAGAACACCGAUUGCGUAGGCAGCUCGCUAAACUGUAACUGACGCUGAGGCACGAAAGCGUGGGGAUCAAACAGG
rnacentral:rRNA from 1 species